GUAUUUCCGCGGGCGCUGAGCACUAGAGAGAGCGUCUUGUGGCUGCGGCCUGCCCCUCAGCCUCCUCCGCGCGGUUACCCCUGUACCCGCCGCCAUCCGUCCUGGCGCUCCGGAUGAGUCAAUGAGGGGCAGGGCCCGAGGAGUGGUCUUCCCAAGAACCCCUGGUGGCCUCCCAAGGCCGGUGCUGUGUACCUCCUCCCCGACAAAAGGGGAAACUGAGGCCCCGAGGGGAGUGGGAAGAGCCGGCUGGACGUCAGGCCCAGCCGCUGGUGCAGUGGCCUCGUGGGCUGUGCGGCUAUCCUGGAGACAGAUGACAGCUCUCCCUUGGAUGGCUUUGCUGGUUCCGCACCAGCCAGCGCCCCCAUUUUUCCUGCAGCACCCUGAUCUGCACUCCCUGAGGGGCUCCCACUGUCCGCGGUGUGAGGAUGUCCCUGGAUAGUCCACUGUGUGCAGAGGCAUGGGAGUUGUCAUGUUGGGAACAUGCUAGACCUCAGUAUCCUUGAGGGAUGCUGCCUUGGGUCUGGAAACUGUUAGAGGAAACCCCAAGAGGUGCAGGCACUGAGCCUCUCAGGACAAUGACCUGGGGUCCCAGCUCCCCUGGAGGGGCCUCCUCAUGAUUGUUUGGGGGUUGAUCACAGACCAAGAGUGACGAGUGAUGUCACCCUGUGACUCAUGGCUGGACCUUCUUGCCCCUAUUGUCUCAGCACAACAUUAUUCGACUUUUCCCUCAGCGUGGGUGGGCAGAGGAAAAGCCCUGUGGCUCUGGGGACUUGGGAUCCAGAGUUGAAGACCCUUCAGCUGGCUCUGCCCUGCCAGUGCCACAGAGUGCCAUGGCCCAGGAAGACAGGUUUUCUUCCAUCUAGGCCAGGCCAUCCAGUGGCCAUCCUCCGUGUCCUCCCGCCUCCUCCUGGUGUGACUUCUGAAAACCAAGAAUUUGUUCCUGUUGACUUUUUCUGUGCUAUGGACCAUUGUCCUCUCACCCACUCAAUAAAUCUUGAAACAUGC
rnacentral:lncRNA from 1 species